GUCUUUUUGAGUAUAAUUUAAAGUCUGGCCUGCCCACUGAAUUUUGAAUGGCCGCARUAUUUUGACUGUGCAAAGGUAGCAUAAUCAUUAGUUUUUUAAUUAAGAACUGGAAUGAAAGGUUGAACGAGAAAAUAACUGUCUCUUUAUAAAUUCUUUAGAAUUUUAUUUUUAAGUUAAAAAGCUUAGAUAUAAUUAAAAGACGAGAAGACCCUAUAGAGUUUUAUAUAUGAUAAUUUUAAGUAUUUUUAAAUAGAAUUAAUUAAAUAUUAUUUUAUAUUAUAUUUGAUUGGGGUGAUUGAAAAAUUUAAUUAACUUUUUAUAUAUAUAUAACCAUUAAUUUAUGAAUUAUUGAUCCAUUGCUUAUGAUUAAAAGAUUUAAUUACCUUAGGGAUAACAGCGUAAUUUCUUUUAAGAGUUCUAAUCGAUAAAGAAGUUUGCGACCUCGAUGUUGGAYUAAAAUAUAAUUUUGGUGUAGAAGCUAAAAAAUUAGGUCUGUUCGACCUUUAAAAUUUUACA
rnacentral:rRNA from 1 species